GUGGCGGGCUGCAGCAUGGCGGCGAAGGCGUGCAGGGGGGUUCGAGGCAUUCGGUCGUGUUCGCCCCGCUUUGUUCGCCUUUACCUUGGGGUGACGAAGUCUGUCUAAGGCCUUUCAGCACCGACUCUCACUCUUUGCUAAGACAUGGGCAGAAAGGUUUUUAUCUCCCAUUGGUGUCACCCAGAGCCCAGUCAUGGAGGUUGCCCUAGAAGGAAUAAUCUUACUUCACAGCUCAGCCACCAAUACUUAGAAGAACUGCUGAGAAAAAAGCCUGUGCAGAACUUCUCAUGUAGUACCGAGAAACAAGGAAAUCACUGGCCUUCUCCAACUCCACUGACAGGGUAGUAGUGAUGCAGCUCAUCUGAACAGCUACAUGGUAUGAAAGUACAAUGAAGAAGGAGACAAUCGUAUGCCCCAGAGAGCCAGGCAGGAUACACACACUGUGAAGAAUAAGAGAGACAAGAACACCAGGCAGCUCAAACUGUUGAGAGCUUUAACACUGUACUGUUUUAAACCACUCAUAUGCAGUCCAUUGCCACACUGUCCUUGAUAAAGAACCAAAAUGUUUGACCAGAACUCCCACAUUCCUACUCUCAGAAGAAUAGCUGUGAUUAUCCAGAGCCACCAGGGUACAAAUGGAAGCAGAGGUAAGUGGGGGGAGCAGCCAGAGGGCUGUGAAUAAUGGCAGCGAAACGGGAGGAAACAACUUCAACAAAGAAGGAUUGUUGGCUCGGCUCAGAACUGAAGUUUCUCUGUUCCUGAAUGGAGCAUUCAUAAGUAAAAUAAGCUUCUUGAACCAAGCAUUCCAAAUUAUUGUAAAAGCCACUUGAUAAAGUGAAGUACUAUUAUUCAUUUUGGUACUUGACUCUCCAGAGAGAGAGACAGCUGUUGUUCUUACUGUAGCAACUUACGAACCAGUUGUACAGCUGUAGCAGUGCUCCUGGUUGUGUCCCAAUCAAGCAGGCAGUUUCGUUCCAAAUCCUUGUUUCAGAAAACACUGCUACAGAAAAAUCCAAAACCAAUUAAAAAUACCAACAAAUGCGCUGCAAACCUUAACAUCUGGGCAGAAUCCACAUAGAAGAAAUAUGUUGAGGGGCUUCGAACAUAAAGUUUCAGUUUUUACUCAAAUUACUGCAGCAUAAGUUAAUGUCAGUGAAGUAGGAGAGUCACUUUGGAUUUAGCACAGGACCUGGCUCAGGGCACUGGAACACAGAACAGAAGUAAAUACUAAUCAUGCUCGCUCACACUGAGAGGAUUAGAUAACUACAGACGUAGGAAAUUAAAACCACAACAAGAUGACCCCAACGUUUAUGAUUUCCCUGUUGUACCAGAUCAGUCAAUAUGAAUAAUUGACAUUGUAAAUUGAAAUCCUCAGAUAAAAAUAAUAGUUUUACCUCUUUAUUUCUCUUCACUCACAUAUAAAUUGAGCGGGCUAUCUCUGACAAUGCCACGGUUUAAUAUUCUAAAUGCACUAUCUCCUUUAACAAUGCCUGGAAUAGAAACAAGCUGCUGAGCCAGAUCCUCAAGGGGUGAAAAUCAACAUUGCUGCACUGACUUCAGUGGAAGCAUAUUGAUCUACACCAGCUAAAGCUGUGGGCCCUAGUGGGCAAUUAGGUUUCUAUUAUAUGCUAAUUUAAAUAAUGUAUCACAGAACAUUUGCUGUACAAUAAAGCGAGGCUACAUUCUUCUGUGGAGAAGGACAAGCACUGGCUGUGGCAUGGUGAGAGUUAUGUAUUCUGGUUUCAAAGAGCUGGAUGAAGUUUCGGUAUAAACUCCUGCUCAUAACAAUGUUUUAAAACCUGUAAUUACUCAUACUGUAUUACUUCAGGAAGCCUGUAAUUAUUUUGUAAGUUCUUACCAAUGUCUAGUCUAGUUUAUAAUUGCUAACACUGCUUCCUUCAAAAGAAUUAGUAACUAUGUUAAAAUCUGGUUAUUGUUAGGUUCCUACUAUACAGAGUGGCUGCGCUGUUACAUUACAAUCUGUAUUCAACAGAGGAACAAAAAAAUCAAACUGAUUUGUGUCAGUUUGAGCCUGAACAAACUAAACGAGUACAACAAUCCCACACGCUUUUCUUUUGCUGCCUCUGUAAUGCCUGGCAACAGGAUUGUGGCUGCAUCUGUACAGGAGUUUAUAGCACCAAGGUCCAUCUACAGGAGCCUCUCACUCUCCCGGGAAGGCCUCGUGUGCCACACAGAAGAUGGAAAAGCAGAAAUGCUUCUUUCUUUUUCCCCCCUACAGUCAGAGACCUUUCAUCACAGCCUCGUUGACAGCAAAACAGUUCUUCAGGAUCUCAGCUGUUUUAGGGGAAUCAUGAGGCCGUUCAGGUGGAAAGAUACCAUCACUGUUCAAAAAAAUAUUAACAACAGUUGUUAAAAAGUCCGUUCUCUUCUGCAGCAAUUUCUUAAAUGAGAGAGAAAAAAAAAAAGCUUCCUUUUUUCUAAGUAUUUGUCAUCUCUCAUCCUGCCUUAGUCAUCAACAAGCAAGCUAUUAGCAUGCCGAGGUCCCUGCCUGAAGCCCCCUGCCUACUAGGUCCCUGCUAGACUUCUGAUAUGGUCAGGAUGAGGGCAUCGUUGCACACUGGCAGUUCUCCUACAUUGCAACUCUUCAAGUGAAGCAGCAGGAUUCAGUACAUGGUUUGUUUUGAAAGCUAAAAGCACAUCUCAGAAGGGCAAUUUGGAAGCUCUCUGAAUACCACUUUUGGGAGAGGGAUCAGCAAAGCAGGACAUUCUCCUUGUAUGUGUGACUCUUACAUCGAAGUCACAGGAGGAAUCUCCUCGAGAUGAUACUCCAAAGACUAAAAAAAAAAGCCCCACACACCAUUUUUAUUUGUCUUGUUUUUUAAGGAACCACUCAGGGUAGAGAGGCAAAGCAAUAUGGGCUGAUGCAGGUCCAAGUGUUGCAAGACAAGAUGUGGUAGCAAUCUACAACAUUACUCCCUUUGUAAAUUACUCCCUUUGUAAACGCAGUUAUCCUGGUAAUAGUGCCUUUCUCUGGUUGCACUUAAAACUCUUCACAAAUACUUUAAUUUCACACAGAAAAAGUUUGUAUGGAGCCAAACAUUUUUAAUGUUAGCAGCCACACAAGAAAAGCGUGUCACACAGGUCACAAGUAAAGUCAUCACAAGAACACAUUUGUACUUCUCAGCUGCCCCUUCACCUUGCUUUGGGGAGGCUCUACAGACAUGGUGAAAAUACCAAGUUUGCAAUCUACAUUUGAAAGAAGAAACUAAAAACUAUUUUGGUUAAGGUUUUGAUGCUGCUUGCAUUCCCACCAGGGAAAAGGGAGUACACAACCCUACCUUGCUAUCCCCACAAGCCAUUCAGCAGCAGCUACUAGCCAUUGCAUGGCCCUGUCCUGUCCUUUCUCUCCCUGUUCCGCCGCCGCCACAAGCCUGAUAAGGGGCCCAAACUGUUCUGUGGUAGAUUAACCUCACCCUGAAAUGGUUCCCUGAUUUAAUUCCCCACAUGGCAGCGGAGAUGCUGCUUGUGCUCACACAAGGGAGAGGUGUAUCCAUUUGGCCCUGCUGGUCAAUGGCUGGUUUGAACGCUCAGACGACUGAACCAUCAGCCCAGUAAUCAGCAAGAGGAGGCAAAGGGGGUAGCAGAAACAAGGACGAGAAACACAGGUUAGUUUUCCAAGAAACAGAAUAGUCUAUGAAUAAGUCAGUGGUUUCUAUGGCCAUGAUUGCUGUGAAACUUCAGGCCCGUCACUCACUUGAUGUCUCAAUUCCAGCUGUGAAAUGAGGACAACACUUUUUACAUCACCGAAGUGAUGUAAGUUGAAAAUUAAUGACUUGGAUACUCUGAUGAUGAGGGCCAAGUCAGUACAUAGCUAAGAGAGAGGAGUGAUUAGUGACAGGGAGGGGUGAAGGAAUCAACGUAUUAUUUUUGGUGAACUGCUUCCUUGGAGGAUAAAUGAGAGUAACUGCUACUUACUUGAUUGCAAGGAAUUGAAAGAGGUCUCUGUAGCUCCCCCGUGGGUGGACAACCGAACAAUUCAAUGGCUAUGACCUAAUUUUAGUCAGAGACCUUAUGUCACAAGGAAUUUACAGGGAGGUGUCUUCUAUGUCCAAAUAAUAAUUGCACUGUGAAGGAUAAUCAACUAAUAUUAACUCAGCCAUCCAAAAUUCAGGGACAGACUGUAUCCCAUUCCCCUUCCUCAAGUUCUGACUUUGAUACCUGGCAGACAACUGCCUGUUAGAAAAUAUCCCACGUGUCCGCUCCAUCAGAUUGAAAGAAAGUCUGUGAACAUACUGCUCCAAGACCAGGAUGAGGAGUUCAGGCUAAGAAAAAUGUUACAGAAGCAGAAAUGUAAAGGUGGCAGGUGACAUUAGAAUCAAAUCUCAAGUUCUGUGUGAUAUAUAAAUUGUGGAUUAUCAGCGAGUGGGCUUUGUACAACACCCACACGUACCAGCAACACUAGGAGGCAUCUCUUUUCAAGCUUCCACUGCUAAUGCGUGAGGAGCCAUCAAGUGAGACUGUUAUUGUUUCAGCAGCUUGUUUUCCUUGCAGCUAAAAACCGUCCGUUCUGUCUAGCCUGAAUUGUCCUACCUUCUCACAGAAGAACAUGUGAAACAUUAAUUCUCCUCAUGCUAAUAAAGGACUGCUAAGACAGGACUGCGUGAGAGCCUGGACAAGUCGCAGAACUGUUGCCAAAUUACGUGUGUGCCUAACUUCUGUAAAAUGCGAAGGUCUCACUGAAAAACACAGGAGUUACAUGAUUAAAUAGCAUCAUGAAGCUGGGCUUAUGCCCUUCUGUACUUCAGGUUCGACCUGUAGAAUAUUAAAACUGGAGAAAUUCUGUCUGUGAGGAUCUGCUAAAUACUGCAGAGUGCUUAGAUACACCAACAGGAAUAGCAGCCACGUAAAUACUUCAAUAGGUAAACAGCACUUCAAGUCUCACUGAGCUUACUGUAUCUCUUUGCUAGAUUAGAGAGUGUAUACUCAGAAAACACAUACAGACAAAUGGAAAAGAAAAAUCCACUGAAGAAACCUUUGAAAUACCAGUCUCAUGAUUUCAGAUCCUGUCUUGAUUUUGUAACCUGGAUCUAGCCAUUCUAGAAACUCUUGAAAAAGCAUAGCACUGAAAUUCCUUUUCCUCUCCUCUGAGCCCAGGGAUCAGCCCUAAACAAUUAUCAUUAUGAAGUUGUACCAGUGGGUUAAAAGAGUCAGAAAACUAAAUACUGCACUGUCUGGAUUUGCACUGAAGACCAAGUCAGGCUGAAAUCUCUGCAGUUUGGUAGUUUGCAAAUAAUUGCUAGGAAUGCAUAAGCGCUAUUGGACUUCCAAAACAGAUCCUUCCAGUUUUAUGAGCAGAGAGUAAAGCACCCAGCAAACUGUACUCAAGCCUGAAAUUCUUAGGGCUGCAUCUGCUUUUGUUCAGCUCUUUAUUUUCUGAAAGUCUUGUGGUCAGGAAAUGAAAUGUGAAUCUCUCAAUUCUUGGCUAUGACACAGGCUUCUUGUGUGGCCCAAGCCAAGUUUCCUAAGCUAUACUUUGGUCCCUGAGUUGGGAAACAGGUAAAACACAACCCUCAGUGAUGUUUUGUGCAUAAAUUAACUCAUGGAAGCCGGUUUUUCAAAGAGUUCACUAAUUAACAUUAUAGACAACCCUAUAGAUAAAGAGAUUGUCAGAGGGCUCUGUCUGGAAGCCCUGGCAAAGGGAAAGAGCACAUUCCAGAGCCGAUGAUAGGAUCUGCAGACGAUUGAAGAAAACCAAGCUCACUGAAUUCCACAAAGACAGUUUUUAAGAAUAUAUAUUUCUUUGUAAUAUAUUCCCGUAUGGAUUUCAUAUAGCAUAGGGUAUCUCCUGCAUUUAGUUUUAUUUAGAAUGAAAUGCCACCACGAGAAGUUGUCAGCACAACUUAUAUAUGGUAUGUUGACAAAAUUUUACUGAAUUGGAGAAAUACUGAAAGAUUUACUUGGUUUGGAACAGUCUUAUGUUGGACACACUGUGUUCCACAAAUAUACAAGUCUUAAGUCACCGGAGAAAGCAAAAGUUCUACAAUAAGCACAUUGAUUAUCACAGAUUUUAGGAUAUAAGCUCAUUGAGGCAGAUGAUUUUUCAUGUGUUUGCACAGUGUCUACUAUCUGGUCUGCACUUGAAACAUAUAAGGUAUUUGACAAAACUUAAUUUUCUAAGUUUCAUAUACCCAUUCAAUAGCUAAACAUGAAAUUCAAGUGCAGUAAAAUAAAAUACAGCUUUCACACUACAGUGUCUAGAAACAGACUACAAACAAGAAGGAGCAUUACUAACUGUUGCUCUACGUCCACUGAAAAAAGAAGCUACAAUGAGGAAGGACUAAACCACGAAUCUUUAUAUUUUUUAAAAUUAUAUAGCAUAGACAAACUUGCAGCCUUCACUAUCACAAGUUUCACCUAAUGAGAAAAAUCAAACUGUUUAUCUCAUUUUGUAAUAAAUAUCAAUCCAAAUAGUCAGCACUGAAAGAUAAAAACAAGAUAAAGUUUCUAUGAAGUCUGCAGGUAUGGUUCUCAGAGACCACUGAAAAGCAAUUGUACAAUUAGGAGCUGAAAAGUGCUUUCAAAACACAAUAGAAACAAUGGAAAAUUCUGUUGUAAGUUACUGCCUAACACACAUAUCAAAUAGUUUGAGUUCUCUUUGAAACGUAGAAACUUAGUGGUGACAGGAAUUGAAUAUUCAUUUGUUGCCUUUGAUUGAAGACCAUAUUUCAGUACUGGAAAAUGGAUUUUUCACUGCUGCUGUGCACCAGUGAAUUCACUUCCUUCAUUUCAAUAUAACAACAUCUCAGUAUAGCAUUACAUCUGAGCAGUAACAACAGCCUAUGAGAAUCCUCAGAACACAUGCAACAAAUGACUACUUUAGAAUUUCUCAGUCAAAGCUCAGGUUAGCAUCAUCUUUGGUUUGUGUUUACUCAUAGGUUGUAUAAUUAAUCUGUCAAAAGCUUUGCUGCAUAAUUAAUGACAUUCAAGAUCAGCAUGCUCCAAAAGUAUUACUAAGUUUAUUUAAAUAAAUAAGAUUCCUUAUGAUUUUGUGACCAAUUAAUCAGCAGCACUUUUUUGAAACACAAAUUCAACUUCUUGUUAUACACUGUGUUAUGGAAGGGACGAAGCCUGUCUGAUCCUUCAUUCUUCCCAGAACUGGAAAUACAGAGAGCACCGUUGGGGUUUCCCACAUAUCUUCACACACAGUUCUAUGGCUGGGACUUUGCCAUCACUAUGCUCCAGUAGAUUUCCAGCCUGUUUAUGUCCUAGUACAACUGAGUGUAAUUUAUCUUCCUUAUAUAUAAAGAAUGCGAGCGAUUACAGAGGAAAUACAGUCACUGCGAAGCUGUAACUUUUAAGAAUUUGGAAUCAAUUCUGCCAGGGCAGGGAGAAGCACUGCUUGCCAAAAACAAGCUGGAGAAAUGCCACUUUGAAAUUAGACCAUACACUUUUGGAAUAUACACUAUCAGGGUACCAAAGCGGUAUUUUGCUAGGAAUGGUACAGCUCUGAAUCCUCCCUUUAAAGCAACAAUACUGAUCUUUGAAACCAUUCAAGUAUUUUGCACUUGCCUUAGGGAGCUUAGCAGUGGGGAAUGUUUUGACCAAUAUACUUCUACACUGCAAGUGGAGGCAGCAGCAAAGAGCCGAAUAACUAUUCCAGGCAGAAACUGCAACCCUAAUCUGGAAUAACACGGCAGCCGGGUCUUGAUGUGCAUGACUGCCUGAGCAGGAAGAGAUGAAAAGCAUGCAUUACCAAGCUGGGCAGUAAUUUUCAUCUUGGACCUUGAAAUAUCAAGUCUUCCCUAAAGUGAAGCGAGCAGUUGAGUGGAGCCCAUGCAAACACAAAGGCUCCCUUAGCCCCUUAUCUGAUGUCGGUGAUCCUCUGAAAUUAGGUGUUACCCAGGAAGAGCAGUGGGAAGGUACAGGACUUGCCACUCCUAGGUGGUACCUGCCUUAAAUACAUUCCCACGGUUUUUCAGUCACGUUGCCAGAGAGGAAAAAUAAACCAACCGAGGCCAGCAGCUCCCUGAGAAAGCUGUAAAAAAGGAGUUGUGGCUCGCACCGAUUGGCACAGCAGAGAAACAACCUUCUCCUUUCACCAGGUCUCCACAUAGUCCAAACACACAGGGCAGCAGGUGCGGCCCUGGAGCAGGAGGCUGCCAGGCCGAAGGCAGCGCUCCUGUGCAGGUAGGAGCCAUCAAGGAGCUGGCGAUGACUUGUGCUGUGUGAUUUACUGCUGGGCACCAUUCCCAAAUGUGUUAGUGAAGUUGCAGCCAAAGUUAUGCACAUCCCUUAGGUCUUGUCUUCAGACAGCCUGGCCAAGAUGAUCAAGUAUUGUUUUCAAGCAAAACAAGGAUGAGAUGCUAUACAGUAUUCCUGUUACAAUUGAUGUUUACGUUUCACUGUUCUACUGCACAGCAUUGCCAACUCUCAAAUACUUAAUAAAAACAGUAUAGAACAAGAAAGAAACAAGUGUAUGCACAGAUGAAGUCUGAGAUUUUUAAAAUAUACCUGAGUUGCUCUAUUUGUUUUGUUUGCUUGUCUUCUGUAAUUCCAAGUGUAAAAGACAACAGACAGCAGUAGUCCUUAAUCACAUUCAAAUGAAGCAAAAUGACAUUAUGAAAGAAAGCAGCCAAUGGAUUCAAUAAUUCAUGGCAAUCACUUUCUUGAAGGUCUUUCGAAAACUGAGAGUAAAUAGGACAAAUAACUGUUAGAACUGAAACACCUACUUGAACAGCUGUGAAGCUCCGGGAAGCAGUGAUGAAGCCUAAGAACCUUGUCAGGUUUCUGUAAGCAGCCUGUUCAAGUUUCACGUACCAGUUAGUGACAAAAAAAAAAAACAUUUCUAUAUAGUGUGAUCACCACACAAACAGACACUCCUUUUAGCUCUAAUUAGUAUUAAAAGAGAAGCUGUAUUCAUGCUUUGAUUUCUACUACAGCUUUGGAUCAUACGGGACACAACAGCUCCACACAAGCUGACUGAUGAUGGUGUAAGCACUUCACUGGGCAGUUCUGAGAGGAACAAAAAUGAUGAAGCCAUGAGAAGAACAAAGAAGCACAAAUGAAUGAUUUUUGCUGUUUGCAGGGUACUCUGUCCCUGGUAUCAUCCACACGUGGGACUGACAGUUUCUGAAUGGAGUUCAAAGAUGACUUUGUUUCAGAAAUAAGAUGAGCCAUGAGUUAGAUGCAUGGAAGAAAAACAUAUUUCCAAGCAACAUCGACAAGUACAAACACCAAGAAUAAUUUUAAAGGCAGCUGAGAAUUAGCUAACUUUGCCCACCUGUUCCCAAAAGCCAGAGCACAGCAAAAGAGAGGGAAGGGUGGCAGGCAGAAACACUCUAUAAAAAAAGAAAGCAUUUUCCAACUUGAAUUAUGCUUCUCAUGGACAAGCGUAAAGCACACACUAUCAUCAGUCUGUAGUUUGUCCAAAAACUGCAACAAGUCCAUGAAAAUAGGAAACUACAUCCAGAAUUGCUCGCACCAGUCAUGACUGAUGGAUUUAUUGGGUAGAUUUCAGUAGAUUUAGCAGCCCCUCUGGGAACUCCUUUGCAGAAACUCAGGUAGUGAAUAUAAAGCUGUGCCUUACAACACAGUUUAUCCACGCUUUUCAGUCUUGCAUUCUACCAGCAAUAUGGCUGAUACCAGACAUGACGUUAAUUUACAAAGCUUUUAGUUGCUAGGCAGGCUCUGGAUAUUCAGAAUACAAAAUAUGCAGAAUGAUGCAAGUAAGCUUUGGUAUUGACUAACAAACUAUUUGAUAUUCUCAGCUACUCAUUUUCAACAUGGGGUGCACAAGACAAUCCACUGGGGUAUAGGGCUCUGCAAUCAAAACUGUUGGGAGAUUGCUGUUCUGAACAAUGUGAUACGCAUGAAACAACAUCUAGUAGCUACCUGCAUUAAGCAAUGUGCCUGCAUAAAGUUCUCCUCUGUAAGACAAAGUUUUGAUAACCACUCCAGGGAGAAAUAAAGGCAAGGGAGGUAGAUAGUUUGUCCACCACCGUCACUAUAGCAGAGCUGAGGAACAAUGGCUUUGGAUGAGAAUCUGGCACAUACGUACACAAACAAAUAAUAAGUACAUUCAGAUAAAAAGAAGGUCCCUGUUUAAUGGCAAUAUAGAAGUGCAAUGUCCUUUCAUGCUUUCCUUGCUCUCUAUUUUGGUUCCCAAACUUGUUAAACACACUUCAUUGUAAUUCUGUUUCUGUGUACUUAAUACACAAUUUACAGUGUUUUGUUUAACAGCUUGUUUAAGAGUAAAUUCGUACAGGCUUCCUGCUUCAUGCUAGUUCGUUUUAAUAAACUCACAUUUCCUACGCAAUCCAUGAGCAAAGCUGGGGUUUGAGUCAUCUCUUCUGACAAUCCAUCCUGUGGAUGAUUUGUUAUUAAUCACACUAGUAACCAGAAGAGUUUGUAUAUAUUUAGGGAGCUCAUCAUAAAAAUUAGUCAUUUUAGCAACUGCAGCACCUUGGCAUGCUAUUUCCACUGCUCUUUCCUCCAACGUGCGGAAUCUGAAUGCAAGUUUCUCUCCAAGUGAUGUGAUGAGUAGGCACUAAUUAAGUUUCCUGUGUGCACCAGUGAGCCUCUGUUGGAGUCCCCAGCCCAGACUGCCAAAAAGUGGUAAGAAAAUCAGACAUUUUUCAGCGUGGUGAGGGAGAAUUGUGGCUUUACAGAGCACAUGUGAACUUUGGUAAAUGGAAAGACAAUUAAAGCCCAUGCGGAGACAUGGUUUCUGGAGCUGUCAUAACCUCUGGUGCGCUUGGAGCUAUUUCAGAAGGCUGCUAAAGGAACAAAGAUCUCUUGAAGAACAGUGCAUAAAAAGUUAGAAAGGUAAAGCACGGAGGUGUUCUAGGGGCCCUCAUCUUUCAUGAUUAUAUGAAACAGAUGGCUAAAAAGGGAGUAAAGGUGCAGUUGUGUUGCUACCCUUAACUAUACUGAUAAAGGCAUUAAAUUGGCACUAGCAGCUUGCUGUCAAAAGAGAGUGAAAGAAGAACACAAGAAAGUGAAUUAGAGAUGAAGAACGUUGACAUAAAGGAGGAGAAAUGAAAGAAAUGAAAUGAAAGAAAUGAGGAACUAGACAGCAAAGGAAAGGGGAUCAGGCAAUUACAUAGCACUUCAGCAAGAUGACAGUACUGCAUGCAGCCCGUGCAGUCCCAGGGAGACGUGAAUUCCAAGAGGGAGGAUUCUUACAUCCACCCAAAUGGAAUAGCCAGAAUGGAACACUGAAGAUGGAGACUGCAGUAGUAUCACGCUUCAGUCUAAAAAUAUAAGCAGUACUCAUUUCCCAAUCUGUUUUUACAGUGUUAAUCCUCCUUGGCAAAAUUAAAGUAAAAAACUUUCAGAAUUUUUUUUUUUGGACAGAGAAUGGAAGCUUCAGAAACUGAGGCUGGGAGGAUGUUUAAGCAGCAGAAACCCAGCAAUCAGCAAAGCGUAGGUUUGUUGUUUUCACUCAUGCUCCAUACUCCAAGGGCUCACCAAAAAUUAUGUUAAAAAUCGUUGCAUUUUGGUUGUAUCUAAAUUUUAGUUUUGAUGAUCAGCUAGCACUUUAUUCUAAGCUUCACACUAUAUAUGAGACAUCAAAGCUGUAACAUCUCUUUCUUACAUUAAGUUGCCUGAAUACAGCAAACUAAUUAUUCAACUGAAAAUACAUCAGAGGAAAUUUACCUUGAGAAUUUACCAAUCUGACAAGAGAUAAUGGGUUUACUACCAAAUAGAAGGGUUUUACCGUACACAAUCUAGUAGGCUCACAGCAUAGCCAGAUCCUAUUGCAAAGCAAAGACCUUAACAUGAUAGAAGAGAAAAGCAUUAGUUGUGUUAACGCCUGUUCAACAGUGAACCGUUUCUGCAGUAUAAUAAUGCAUUAUCUAGCUCCUGUUCACACUUCGAUUAAAAAAAACACCAAACAUAACACACAACAAAAACACAAACAACCCAACAAACCAUUCCCUCUUUGUAGUUUAAGAGAGCCAACAGCCUCUUCAUAAAACAAUUCUGUUGUCAUUUUUACAUAGGGUUAGCUGAUGCCUUUCCCCUUCUUAUUCUAAAAUGAGCUAAACACAGUUAAUGACUUCAAAAUAGAAUUAGCUCAACAGCAUUUGGCUGAAAGCAUUUAUUUCUAUGAAUCCAGUUAUAAAUUACGAAUCCAGUUAUAAAUCAUAACUUAAAGGCAUAUUGUAAAGAACUUCACUGAACAUUCAAACAGCAGCCUUCUAUAUUAAAGUGGUAUUAGAGCUUAGACAUUAGUCCAGUCAACAUAAAUUCCGAUUUUAACAGGCUUGGAUAAGUAUCUAAAUUUUGGCUCAGCUAGUGAGUUUCAGCUGUCAGUACUCUGAAAUAGAUACAAGCUUUAACAAACCUUUAAUUCAAAAGCCCAUUAUUGUACCAACUGGAAUAGAAAGACUUCAGUAUCAAAGAGGAGUUCUUCCCUCCUUUCAUGGUAUUACUUCUGUAAGACACCAAUUGAUCUACAGCCCUUGAAAGAAAGCUUCUCGUUUCCAUCUCCUGGAUAAAAGUCAGUGCAGUUUUUUCAUCCGUCACAGUGUAACAGCAUCUAAAUAUACCUUCUGCAUCAACUUAUAACAAGGAGGAAAACCUGAAAACCACAAGGCUAUUACAUGACAUGUCAGUUUACUUUGUCUGACAGAUUCACUGCAGAAUGAAGAACAUUUUCAUUAAAAAAAUUAAAUGAAGAUUUGUUUAGAGUACUCAGUGAGGAAGAAAUGAGGAAAAAGAGAAGCAUGAAUUUAUCCAGCUGUACGUAGUGCUGGUGUUAUUCUGAUGUGCAGUUCGGCUUCAAGAAGAACAUACGGGUAGCUCACUGCAUCCAGCAAGUGAAACACAGCCCUCAUCUGAACAGCAAGGUGCUGUGCCCCCUUCUCUUGGGGAAGAGAAGGGCUGUGCAAGCAGCACUGUGGCAAGGAGGGGCUGCUCUCUGACAGCAGCCAUGGGAAGAAGGUGCGUAACAGGCGAGUGAAGGUAAAAUCUGCCCCACAGCAGAGAAAGCCCGAGCUCAGAAGGACAGCUGAGGGCAGGCAGUUAUCACAGAUGUAACCUCUGACAGAUUUAAGUGCUUUACGAGUUGAAUAUCAGCUCAUUUGGAAAGGACUUGAAAGACAUAACCGUGACAACUACAGGAUACGAAGAGCACUCAGAGACUUGUCCUGUGCCACUGGUCUGGGGUCGAUUCCAGCCUGCUCUGGUCCUAAUAACUUCCAAUACAAAGCCUGCUGAGGCUUUUUGAUGAGGAAGUUUACCACUCAAUGAGAAGAGCACAGCUGCCUGGUUUGCCCCAUAUCAGACAGUGCCUGGACAGCCAUCCCAAAAGUCAGACUGGACAACUUUUGGAGAUUAUUUUUCCUCAUUUAGGACUAUUUAUGCAAUGCAUUGAGAUUUAAAACACUGCCAGUAUUACUGUUGGUUACUUAACAACUAAUAACAUCCACAACAUUUUGCAGUGUCUGAUACAUUGUGCAACUGACUUAAUUUGCCCCCUCUGACGUUAAGAACAGUUAUUGUUAAGGAACAAUCCCUUAAAAUAUUUAGGUGGGUUGUUUAAUUCAAUUGAACAAUGUACUUGGAACUACUGUGAUGGAAUUAGCACACAGCGAAAUCAAUACAUGCUUAUUUAAAUUCCUUCUCAGUUACACGUAUUUUCUCUUUGGGCAUACAGUCCUUCAGUUUCUUACUGGGUGUCACUGCAGUACGGCGCCUUACCUGAAAACCAACACAGUAUUUGCACUCAAUAACCUUUGUUUAUUUUAAAUGGGAAUACUUUUUAUUCUUCCAGGCCAUGCUAAAUCCUGUUUGAUUCGGUCACUCGAACUCCUUCUCUCAGCACAGAAGGAGCAUCAUUUCAAAUAACAGUACUAAGCACAACUCCACUGAGAGUCACCUGAUUUCCCUGUUGGCCUUACUAUCCAAAGAUACAAGGAACUCCACUAACACAAAGAAAUACAAACAGGCCCAUUACAACAACUUGUUAUGCUUUAAGUUGAAGGAGAGCUUCUUUCUUUGGACAAUCUCUGGUACAGCAAACAAGUCUUGGGAAGGAAGGUAAAUGCCUAACACACACUUUGGAAUGUACAGGUUCAAAUUCUGCUAAUGUGAGAUAUGGAUGAUCAAAUGCCUGGGAUGCUACAUUAUUUUACAAAAAAAAAAAAAAGUAGAUACUCAAAAUGAAACAAGUCUGAAAAUUACAUGCUACUGACAUUUACAAUGCGAUUAAUUACUUAUGGGAGGAAACCAUCCCAUUAUCUAUCUGCCUAAAUUUUAAAAGUCAAGGGAACAAAAGUUAUAAUCUUGUUUGCAAAGCACCAGAUUAGCAGCAAGCAAACGGUUUUGUCUCCUUGGAUAAAUCUCUUGGACCAAGCAGUCCUUUGUAAAAAAGACACAUUACAGAGAUGUUUGCAGAUUUGGAACAUUUUCCAAAGCAAUAACAAUUUUUGUAUCCAGCUUAAUACAAAUUUGAAAGCAUUUUCUGAAGACUGGAAUUAAUUAUAAUUAUUCUCCCACAUUAUAUUUGGUGAUUAUAUAUUUCAAGUCAUGCUCUGUAAUUUCAAUUAUGAAGGUACUUUUACUUUUGAAGUAGAUAAGAGUCCUCAAAAACUGUUAAACUUCCACCAAGGAAAAUACGCCUGCCUAACAAAAACUUGUUCAAAUUCACAAAUAAUGCCUUUAAGAAAUAAUGCUUAGUGGUGCUUCUUAUGUGAAACAUGGAGGUCUACGCCAGCUGUGGAUGUGCUCCCAGUGCUUGAACUUUACACUCCAAGGAAGCAUGCCCAACCUGGACAUCCGUGCAUGCUGCCCAUUUCAGAUAUUCAUUCCUGUAUGCAGGGAUCCCAUCUACUGUUGACAGAAAAUCUGGACUUGUAAUAAUUACCAAAUCUCCAGUAGUGCGGCAACAAUCCAACAAAGUUAAGCAACAAAACCCUGCAUCAUGUUUUUGCCAGCACUUCCCUAAGGAAUAUUUCAGCUCAGUGCAAUUAAAAAAAAAAAAAAGUAUUCAGGGAUUUCAUUUUGGGAUUUUGGCUUUAUGAGUUUCUGGCAACUCUCCCCGUGUACAUGUGCUCUCUGAAAUAACGAGGUAUUAACCUGACAGUGCAGCUAUUUUUAAGGGGAAAAGAUGGGCUCUGAAACUUUGUUUUUAAAUUCAGAAGCAAAUUCUUUAUAAAAUUCUUCCUGUUCAGCAUAUAAAUUGAAUUCAUUUGGUUAGCCUUCCUAAAAUGUACAGCCCGUCUCUUCCUACCAUACUCCAUGCCAGCAAGCAGGUCAGGACUUGACAUAAUUGAGUGAAGAAACCUCCACCCUGUAAGAGUAUGGAAGAAACACAUCUGCUGGUAAUUCCUUGCAGCCGGGCACACACGUCCUCAUCAUGUUUACUUGAGAGUAAUGGCCACUGUUUGCAAACAAUUACAGUUUCCUCAGCACAGGCUGGAUGUCAGCGUGCGAAGCCCUUGUGUGCAGCAGCGCAGUGCUAUUACAAGUGCUCAGGCACCCCGCGCAGCUCAAGUAAAGCCACUUACUCAGUAAAGCUCUUCAAGUACGGAUCAUUUCUCCCAAUUAACACAGUGAGGCAACAGACACACAGGCCUCGCUAGAAACACCUAUGCUAUGUUUUUUCUCUAAACAAAGAAAUAUGACUUUUUUUCCUGGCAGUGACACCCCUCAAAUCCCGAAGAAUUAGCCUUCAUGAAAGCUCAUGGCAAUACUUGCUUCUUUCUCUUGGGCCACUGCUACUGGCCCUGCUACCUGUCUCGGAAUGGAAGCCCUCCUUCAGGCAGCACUAGUGCUAUUGAUCGGGGAGCAGCAGGGAAUUCGACACACGGCUUUAAAUGGGUAAUUCAGCCACUGUUCCCCACAGACACCACCACUGCAGCUCUUCACAGGAACGUUACAGAAGACCCUAACUUGUCUGAAGAGAUUAAAGGGAACAGGUCGUGUGCUGGCAAUAAUUUCUUAGCCUCAGAGCAAUCAAAUAAUGGUACAAAUAAAUGAUCCAUUUCACGUUUCAAGUGACAACUUACUAAAAACAGUGCAUUUUAAAGACAGUAUUAAUAAAAGGCUUAAUCUGAUGAUAUUUUAAAAACGUAAGAAUGUCUACGGAACAAUCACAGCAUCGACCUGAAGGCAGCAGGGAAUACUGCCAGCAAUAAUACCCAACAUGUUUACAGCUGUUUCACUGGCAAAAGCAAGUGCUAAUCACAAGCGUGAGCCUUCACAGCUCCGUCUUUCAUGGCCUUAUGGAGAACUUCUUGUCCUUCGAACAAAUGCAAAUGCUGGUUUCUCCUGAGGUGCCCAAAUUGUUCUUUUCAAGCCUUGAUGUUUUUACACAAUUCCCAGCAGCUCUUCUUAGCCUCUUACAUUCCGACUUCUGUUUACUGCUGCACUACUCCUCUUAGUGUAGUAGCACAUCAAUUAAUUAUACAGGAGUAUGCCUAAUCAGGUUUCCCUGGGGUUUUUAACAGAAACCCUUUGUAUUUCCUAAUGAUUCCCUCAGAUUCUAAAUAUUUUUAGUUCUGCAGUAAAAGAAAAAUCUAAGUCUGCUGACAACAAUAUUUCCAUAAAAGAUGAAAUUAGUAUUAAAAUCGUCCAUCCAAGCACACUUAAACUUCAGAGAAUUCAGAUUUAGUCUGGAUUUCAUGAUUAACAUUUUUAUACCACAUAAGCAGUCAGCACAUAUAGACAAGAAAUACAAAUGAAGAAGACAAGAGCUGAAGAACUGAUGUGACCUACUUUUCAUUGUAGUAUUAAAGCAGAUGCAUUCACACUGAUGGCAAAGCCUCCACUGACUUCAACACAGUGAUACCACCGAUUGGUAAGCAGCAAAAAACCCGUGACAAAUUUCUCGCACCCUGCCUUGUUCUGACACUGGACGUGUGCUCAGGACAGCCAGCAUUGCUUUCCUUUGUUCUAAGACUCCCCCCUCUAAUUCUCUCCCCCGUCCCACUGGGAGGGGGUAGUGAGCAAACAGCUCUAUGGUGCCCAGCUGCCUGCCGAGCUAAAGCACAACAGGAAGAAAUUCACAAACUUCCUCCUUGACUUAAAGGAGAAUUCAGGAUUUUAGUUAUAAUGCAUUAUCUACUAAAAGCCUAAAUCAGCAAAACCACAUCUGGCUUCUAUGUGGCAGAAGCUCAAAAAAAAAAAAAAAAAAAAA